UGCCUUAGUACGGCGAGUGAAGCGGCAACAGCUCAAAUUUGAAAUCUGGCCCUUUCGGGCCCCGAGUUGUAAUUUGUAGAGGAUGUUUCGGGUGCGGCGCGGGUCUAAGUCCCUUGGAACAGGGCGUCAUAGAGGGUGAGAAUCCCGUAUGCGACCGGUGACCAACCCCAUGUGAAACCCCUUCGACAAGUCGAGUUGUUUGGGAAUGCAGCUCAAAAUGGGUGGUAAAUUUCAUCUAAAGCUAAAUACCGGCCAAAGACCGAUAGCGCACAAGUAGAGUGAUCGAAAGAUGAAAAGCACUUUGGAAAGAAAGUCAAAAAGUACGUGAAAUUGUUGAAAGGGAAGCGCUUGCAACCAGACCUGUCCGCGGGCAAUCAACCUCUAUUCUCAGGGGUGCACUUGUCCGCGAUCAGGCCA
rnacentral:rRNA from 1 species